rnacentral:rRNA from 1 species
ACUCCUACGGGAGGCAGCAGUAGGGAAUCUUCCACAAUGGGCGCAAGCCUGAUGGAGCAACACCGCGUGAGUGAAGAAGGGUUUCGGCUCGUAAAGCUCUGUUGUUAAAGAAGAACACGUAUGAGAGUAACUGUUCAUACGUUGACGGUAUUUAACCAGAAAGUCACGGCUAACUACGUGCCAGCAGCCGCGGUAAUACGUAGGUGGCAAGCGUUAUCCGGAUUUAUUGGGCGUAAAGAGAGUGCGGGCGGUUUUCUAAGUCUGAUGUGAAAGCCUUCGGCUUAACCGGAGAAGUGCAUCGGAAACUGGAUAACUUGAGUGCAGAAGAGGGUAGUGGAACUCCAUGUGUAGCGGUGGAAUGCGUAGAUAUAUGGAAGAACACCAGUGGCGAAGGCGGCUACCUGGUCUGCAACUGACGCUGAGACUCGAAAGCAUGGGUAGCGAACAGGAUUAGAUACCCUGGUAGGAUAGCG